UGCAAAAUACUGAUCCCAUCCAGAACAUUCUGAACUAUACCAGGAGGUGGUAUUUGUUACUAUUCUGGUUUAGAUAGUAUAUGAAACACCCUUUGAGAAAAGCGGCCCUGGAGAACCAGUCCUUACCACUGAAAUUAGCAUUUAAUUUUUUUUUUUUUUUUGCAGUGCUGGGGAUUGAACUCAGUGCCUGGUGCAUGCUAGGCAAGUGAUUUAUCACUGAAUUACAUCCUAAGCUCAUCUAAAACUUUCCAUAACAUGUACCUACCAUGAUUUUUCCUCUUAUAACUGCAUUUUAAAGUUAAUUGAGACAUAACUCACAUACCAUACCAAUGACCCAUUUAAAGUGUAUAAUUCAAUUGUGUUUUAUUCUAUUCAUAGAAUUGUGCAACUAUCACUCCAAUAAAUCUUAGAACAUCUUCAUCACCUCUAAAAGAAUUAUUGUUUACUUUAGAAAUUUUCCCCCAACCCCCUAGGCAACUAUUGAUCAGCUUCUGUCUUCAUAGAUUUGCCUAAACCAUAGAUUUGCCUAAUUUCAUGCAAUUAGAAUCAUACAACAUAUGAUUUUUUGUGACUGACUUCUUUGACUUAGCAUAAUAUCUUCAAGGUUCAUCCACAUUGUAGCAUAUAUCAAUAUUUCAUUCCUCUUUAUGGGUGAAUAGUAUUCCUUUGAAUGGAUAUACCACAUAUCAUUUAUAUAUUCAUCAAUUAUGGACAUUUGAAUUAUAUUUACUUCUUGGUUGUUAUAAAUAAGCAACACUUAUGUACAUGUUUUUGUGUAGACAUAUGUUUUCAUCUGUCUUGGUCAUAAAUAAUACCUUCAAUCUCACCUGAAGUGGGGUUGCUCAGUCAUAUAAUAGAUCUAUGUUUAAUCUUUGGGGACACUGCCAGUGUGUGUUUUCCAAAGUGGUUACACCUUCUUUCACUCCCACCAGCAGUUUAUGAGGGUUCUGGUUUCUCCACAUUAUUCGUUAUUAUUUGACUUUUAAUUUCUAGCUAUCCUAGUGGAUACCUUGUUGUAGAAUUCAGUUACCCAAUUAAAGAAUACAAUCAAAUAGUUUUUGGAUUAUUACAUUAUUUUAUUGUGGUUUUGAUUUGCAUUUCCCUGGUGAAUAAUGAUGUUGAACCUCCUUUUUUGGUAUAUAUCAGCCACUUGUAUCUCUCCUUUGGAGAAAUCUCUCUUCACAUCUUGGCCUAUUUUCUCUUCCAGAUUUAUUGAAGUAUAAUUAAAAAAUAAAAAUUAUGUGUGCCUAUUUUAUCUACCUAUUUGUUUAAAAUUUUUUAUUGGUGUAUUAUAAUUAUACUUAAUGGUG
rnacentral:lncRNA from 1 species